rnacentral:rRNA from 1 species
UAGGGAAUCUUCGUCCAUGGGGGGAACCCUGACCGAGCAACGCCGCGUGAGUGAAGAAGGUUUUCGGAUCGUAAAGCUCUGUUGUUAAGGAAGAACGAGUGUGAGAAUGGAAAGUUCAUACUGUGACGGUACUUAACCAGAAAGGGACGGCUAACUACGUGCCAGCAGCCGCGGUAAUACGUAGGUCCCGAGCGUUGUCCGGAUUUAUUGGGCGUAAAGCGAGCGCAGGCGGUUAGAUAAGUCUGAAGUUAAAGGCAGUGGCUCAACCAUUGUAGGCUUUGGAAACUGUUUAACUUGAGUGCAGAAGGGGAGAGUGGAAUUCCAUGUGUAGCGGUGAAAUGCGUAGAUAUAUGGAGGAACACCGGUGGCGAAAGCGGCUCUCUGGUCUGUAACUGACGCGGAGGCUCGGAAGCGUGGGGAGCGAACAGG